ACAAGCCAAAUUCCCUCCCACUUCCUCUAGAUCAAAACCGGCCCUAACCCACUCUCUCCCCCUUUGAUUUUUCUUCCACCCAAGUUCAAGAACAAGCUCACCUCUAGGAUCAAGGUUUUGAGAAACAAAUCCAAGAGGCUUUGGGUACAUCCAUAGGAGUCAAGGCAAUUUUUGGCUAGAGAGCAAGUCUACAACGCAAGGGCUAAAAUUUUGAGAAGAUCUAGGCGCCAACGAAAGGAAAAAGGCCUACAACCUAUUGAUGGACUUGGCGGUGGACUGGUAAGGCAGAGGUUUGGAGACUGGAUACUACCAUGCAAAAUUAUUCCGCAAUUUAUGUUUUGAUUUUGAGAAUUAGUCAUGUUUAAAUUUAUAGUUUAGAAAGUCUUUACAUGCAAAUUUUAUUUGCGAUGCUUAUUUAUAUGUGUGUUUCGAAUUCUAAGUAC